rnacentral:rRNA from 1 species
UACGGGGGGGGCAAGCGUUGUUCGGAAUUACUGGGCGUAAAGGGCUCGUAGGCGGCCAACUAAGUCAGACGUGAAAUCCCUCGGCUUAACCGGGGAACUGCGUCUGAUACUGGAUGGCUUGAGCGUGGGAGAGGAAUGCGGAAUUCCAGGUGUAGCGGUGAAAUGCGUAGAUAUCUGGAGGAACACCGGUGGCGAAGGCGGCAUUCUGGACCAUUACUGACGCUGAGGAGCGAAAGCCAGGGGAGCAAACGGG